UUUGUCCUGUGUCACCUUCGGUAAACUGGAACUAUAUUUCGCAGAAUUCCCUUCCCUAUAUGGGUUGGGUUAGGAUUAGCUACAAGACACAUUUUCUGUGAGAUUUAGAAGGCAGAAGUGAAGUUGCAGCCAUAUGUUUUUUACUCCCGGAAGACCUACAGCCACUGCAGACUCGACAGUAGAUGCAGAAGCAACAACCCACGUAAAACGCUCCACCAGCUCCCACAACUGUGCCACUUGUAAUUCACCACUUAGAGACAACCACGGCAACGUCAUGCAUGGCUUGAUGAGCGAUGUGCAGGUCUGUGCCUGGGAUGCAAACCAGUGAACCCCGGGCUGCUGAAGCGGAGUGCACGAACUUUGCUAUACCACUGGGCUGGCCCCAAGGAUGACUUUCUAAUAGGCUGUUCUGCAUGUUGCUCGACCUUCCUGCCUGAUGCUCCACUGUCACCAUCAGCUGAACACCGCAGGGGUGCGGCUGCCUGAGAACGACCUGAAGAAACUACUCUCCUCUGGCCAGUGUAAGACCCAUUUGCCUGUCAACCAGGGACUGCUCCCCAC
rnacentral:lncRNA from 1 species